rnacentral:lncRNA from 1 species
GAGGGGAGGACCAGACUAUUCACCAGCUGUAGAAAAGGAAGGAGUAACAGGGAAAGCUGUCUGCUGGUGACUAACUGCUGGAGAAAAUUCUCUUCUAGGCACCCACUACAGCAGAGGGGCAACAGCCCAGCAGCAGCGAGCUGUGCAGCACAAAGCAUUAACCCUGGAGGACCACCUUUUGGAAACAACUCUGUUUUUCUCAGAUUGAGGGAGCACCUUGAGAUUAAGAAAGCCCUUGUGCCUUUUUGUUUCUUGCUGCCAUGGCAAGAGUUGAACAGAAUUCCAACAUUUAAAAGUUUGCUGUAUAAUCUAAAGCGUUAUUGAUGGAACACUUAACUGAAAGCUCACACCACCGUAAGUAAAAAAUGGUACUUUUUGCUCAUGACAUGAAAAAAGUGAUAGUAAAAGCCUUUGUGUGAAGGUCAGGUUAUAUGAAAAUCCUGGGGGAGGGUUGGUUUGGGUUCUUUUAGGGAGGUUGGAUGUUUAGGGGUUUCUUAUGUUGUUGUUGAAGGGUCACAAUUUUUGAUUGAAACCAUGUUACUGCUUUUUGUCACUUGUAUGACAUUUGAAUUGUAAAGUUAUUUUUCUGUGAAUCAUGGGUAUACAUUUUAUUCAUUAAAUGUAUUUGAAAACCACAGGGGUUUAUUCCCUCUAAUAGGAGUCCACACUUGAACAGUGAGCCAGUUUGUACAGAACUGUCCUCCUCAAGCCAUACAUCAGCGCUACUGCUCAUGAGGAUGAGCUGCCAUGAACCUAUUUCCACCUAGUGUUGCAGGCACUGUAUUUGCAAAAGGUGACUGCAGUCCCAGGGCUGUAUGUGCUGCACUCCUGUGACAAUGUCUGCCCUGCAGGCAGAACCUGAAGGACUGUUCUGGGGAAGCACCUCUGAGGUCUGAGACAGAUGUGAUCUUUAAAAUGUACAGCUUAGCAGCCUCCAGAAGGGAUUUAAGAACUUCAAACCCCUGGUACUAAACGGGCUUUCUUUCCCUAACCACUGUAAAUGCGAUAGGCUGCCUCUAGUUGCAUUUCCUGUUAAUAGUUUGAUUGCCUGAAGUGAGUUGGGGCUGGGAAGUUAACACUAGGACCCUGCCUUUCUGUGGCUACAUAAAGCUAGAGCUGAAAA